rnacentral:tRNA from 1 species
GCCUUUGUGGUGUAGUGGUCAGCACGCUUGACGCGUAAUCGAGAAGUCCGUAGUUCGAUUCUCGUCGAAGGCG